UUCACACCGGAGGAGAUGACGGCUGCACUCCGGGAGCUCGGGUAGGCGGUUGCGGGCAUCCGCACCUUCCUCUUGGGACCCUAUGCCCCGAAGCCGCCCGGCUCCUUAGCUCCCACGAUGGCGCCCCAGCAGCUGCCGCCUCCGCGUCCACACUCCCAUAGGUCACCGGCCGCCGGCUUUGGGGUGUCCUCGGUGCCAGGGGUGCCCAUCCACCAGGUCCGGUUCCCCGUUGCCAUCGCUGUUGUUGGCCUGGCUCGCCGGGUCCCUCGGGCCGGUCUACNN
rnacentral:lncRNA from 1 species